AACGCAACUUGCGCCCUCUGGUAUUCCGGAGGGCAUGCCUGUUUGAGUGUCGUGAACACCUCAACCCUCCAAUGUUUUUGCGUUGCAGGUGUUGGUAGUGAGCGCUGCCGGUCUUUGGGUCGGCUCGCUUUAAAAUCAUUAGCUGGAUCCAUUCUGACCUGGUUCUACUCGGCGUAAUAAGUUAUUAUCGUCGAGGACGCCUGGCCUUGUAGGCAGGCGGCCACAGUAAGAGUGUUUGAGCCGCUUCCAACACGUCUUGCUCUUGUAGCAAACACUUGAACCUCUGACCUCAAAUCAGGCAGGACUACCCGCUGAACUUAA
rnacentral:misc_RNA from 1 species